rnacentral:miRNA from 1 species
AACUCUUGAGAGAGAGAGAGAGAGAGAGAGAGAGAGAGACUUCGUCGGUUGGAUCUCAAUCUCAAUCACUCAGUGACAGCAGUUUCUCCCUCUCUCUCUCUCUCUCUCUCUCUCUCACACACA